ensembl:lncRNA
ACAGACAUGAUGUGUGUGUGUGUGUGUGUUUGCAGUAAUGUGGAGCUCGGCUCGGAGCUGACUGGAUCUUCCUCACCAGUGGCUGUGAAUCGCUUCACUGAGGAUCGAGUGUCAGUCAGGAGAUCAGGAAAGAGUCCCCUGCGGCUCCGUGCGAACAGCCACUCUGUGGAGCGAGCGCUGGCCUACCACGGCAGCUGUGGCUCGCUGCCCAGAGAGGCCCGGGUCCAGGCCGUCCCCCGGGCCAAGGGCAGCCCCAUGCACACCUACAAGAGCGUGGAGAUCACCAACGUCUGAGGCGUCCAGCGCUCCGCUUCCGUCCACAUCCUUACUGUUAUUACUGUGCCGAGGCGGAGCUGCAGUUCACUGUGACUUUACAGGAACAAAAAAAGUUCAGUUUACCGAGAUGGAGCGAUUGUAAAUACAACCCAAAUCCCCAAAAAUGUUGGGACAGUGUGUUAAAUGUAUAUAAAAACAUCUUUAACGUGUAAAAUCGGUCUAUAUUUCAACAUAAACAACAUGUAAAAUGUUGAACCUGAGACAUUUUACAGUUUAAUGAAAAAACAAAUUAGCUUAUUUAAUAUAAAACGAAACAUCUCAGAAAAGUUGGGACAGGGCCUUGUGUAGCAGUGUUCCUCUGCUUAACAUCACACUGUGAGUAUUUGAAGGCUUGGUGAAUUCCCACAGUGCAAUUCAUCAUGUUACAUGAAAGGUAAACUUUACAUAUUGUCAAGAUCACAUAUGACCCACCUGCAGAGGUUUCAUCUUUUUUUUUUUUUCCAAAACUAUUUAUUGAAAUGCCUGUAUUAUACAUACACAUGGAAUUAAAACAAAUCCUUACAAUGCAAAAUCAGUCUUCUCCGGAUAUCUGGAUGAAUUUUAGCUAGUUUGGCUUUUGAAAGUGAAUGCAAUGCAGAACCUUUCAUUGUAUGAGCUCAUGUCUGGUGCAGGGAGAUGAGACAUGAUUGAGAAUAUCCUCCCUAGUUGUGUCUGUAAGAGAGGUGCCAAGGUCCUCUUUCCAUUGUGACCCAAGGACAUCCAUUUUCUGGGGGUUUAUCUCAACAAUAACUUAAUAAAUCCGUGAAACUAUUCCCUUUGUAUCAGCAUCAAGAGACAACAACGUGUCAACUGGACCAGCUGUCGGCAUAUUGGGAAAAGAGUGAUAUUGUUCUCUAACAAAAUUCCUCAGCUGCAACUAUUGAAAGAAGUCAGGAUGGAGUAGCUUGUAUUCAGAAACCAGCUGUUCAUCAAAGGAUGCAAAUAUCCAAUCGACAAACAGAUUUCCAUACCAGGCACGGAAGGCCUUGUCAGUCAUAGCUGGUGUAAAGAGAGGAUCAGGCGCCAUUACUGAGGGGCUUUUUAGACCAAAAUGCUUCCUGAAUUGUAACCACAUUUUGAAGUGUAUUGGAAGAUACUGGAUUUGUUGAACUGCUAACAGAGUCUUGAAUAGCAGAGGAAACUAGAGUGAGUAUUAAAGUUAUAGGACUCCAUUGUGACCCAAUCUGGCGCCUCACCUUCAGCGCAACCCUGGACCCAAAACAAGACUUUCUGAAUAUUACCUCCCCAGCAGUAAUGCAUAAGAUUAGGCAGUCCUCCCUCUCCCUUUUUCCUCUCCAGAAAGAGGUUUCAUCUUUCGAACAUGAGUCUCAGUCUCACCACACAUUUCACUCCAUUUUAAGCACAGAUCGUGUCUCAUAAAUCUAAUAUUUUAUCUUUUAGCAGCUAAUUUCAAAUUUUACAGCAGUGAAACAUCCAAAUGCGGUCGGUACAGGGCCUUGUUUACUAUCUGACUGUUAAACAUGUGAGGAGUGAAGAGGAACCAGCUGCUGGAGUUUAGGGAGAGGAUGGUUCCUGAUGCUCCAAAUGUUUUCUAUCUCUCUUCAUUACUUUUGAAAACACAAUGUUAUAGAGAUUCAAAGAGAAUUUUAUAUCCCUCUAAUUCUGCCUCAGGUGACUUCAGAUGAGCUCUGGAACAGUGUGAGGGAAGGUUCUUGUCUGUAUAUAUUUAGUUUUGUAUUAUGACCAAAUAUCCUGAUUCAUUCUCAGUUUUCAGAGACAAAUGUAGAGAAAUACACUUAAAUGUAUGAUGUAUAGUUAGAUGUUAUUUAAAGAAAACAAGAAAAGUAUAAGUCAAUAUUUUAGUAACUCAGAUAAGACCUAAUGGCAGUUUGUUCAUCAAAAACAUGUUUGGAGAAUAACAUUUACAUUAUUUUCCUUCAUUGAGGAUAAAGAUUGUACUAGUGUGUAUUUUUACUCAUCUUAUUAUAAUAAUGUCAUGUUACUUGCUUUCUAUAUCAUUGAUUGAUACAUUGGGCCUGAAGGCCUGAAAAUCAUUAUCAUCCAGUUUUAACCUUCAGCUUCAUCCUUCUCACACACACACACACACACACACACACACACACACACACACACACACACACACACUCCUGGUUUUAUCUGUCUUCAUUCUAAAGACAUUCUAAAUGGUGCCAUCUCUCUUUUUAAUGUAGUCUUCCUGUCUGAAAAGCUCCUUUUAUGCAGUCAUGUCACUGAAAUUAGCUGUUAAAGCUGUUUUUCAUACUUUUCCAGGUUUGUUUUGCCUCGUCUCAACUUCUCUGAGAUGUUUUGCUGCCAUCAGAUUCAAAAUGAGCAAAUAUCUUCUGUGAAAUACUGAAAUAUCUCAGUUUCAACAUCCUGAUGAGUUGCGCUGGCAAUUAAAUAUAUGUAUAUGGAAUAUGUCAGUCCUUUAUUUCUCUUUUUAUUUACUUUUAACACAGUGUUCCCACUUUUUUGGAUUUGGGGUUGAACAGUUAUUCAAACUGUUUUGUUUGUUUUCUAACUGAAUCUUCUGUUGCCAUCUAAACACUGGAGCGAAGGUUUAAGCCCUCCUGGGUCCGGACGUCUUCUGAUGCCUUAAAUGAAAACUGGGGUGAAUAUUUUCCGCUCAAUUCAUGUUUCUCUUGUUGCACAUUUUCAUCCAGAUGCACAGUGGAUCAAAAGUCUUGCUCAAAGACACUUUGGCUCGCAGACAGCCAGAGAUCUAAAGACCACGGUGAGGAGUAGGAGGCUUGAAUCUACGGUCACUGAAUUAUCUCCUCAAGAUUGUGAUCAGUUCACCGUUUGUUAGAGAUCAGGAUCAGAUGGAAAUGGUGUGUGUGUGUGUGUGUGUGUGUGUGUGUGUGUGUGUGUGUGUGUGUGUGUGUGUGUGUGUGUGUGUGUGUGUGUGUAUGUGUGUGUGUGUGUGUGUGUGUGUGUGUGUGUGUCAGUGCAGGGUGGGCUUUGUCUGAGGGUCAGCAGGAUGCUUUUUAUUUCCUUUUCAUUUUUUGAAAAGAACCGGUGUUUUAAAGAAGCAAGCUGAGGGUGAAACCAUUAUUUAUUUUAUGUACAAAAAAUGCACAACAAGACCAAUUUUUUACUUCUUAACUUCAAAAUGCUAAAAUUAGCUUAAUUGCAAAUUUAUAAAUAUAGAAAUGCAACAAUGGUGAAAGACUUAAAUUAAACUGAAAGCAUCUUACUAGUGUGUUUUUUAUUGCUUUUGGAUCCCGACAGGAAAAAUAUGUUUUGAUGUGAAACUUAUCAGGAAUUCCAAAGGUCACUGACCUUCAAUUCAAUUCAAUUCAAUUCAAUUCAAUUCAAUUCAAUUCAAUUCAAUUCAGUUCAAUUCAAUUCAAUUCAAUUCAAUUCAGCUUUAUUUAUGAAGUGCCAAUUACAACAUGGUCGUUUCUAGACACUUUUACAGAGAAAACCCAACAGAUCCACAUGAGCAGCAUAAGCGGCUGUGGAAAGGAAAAACUCCCUUUUAACAGGAAGAAACCUUUGCAGAACCAGGCUCAGAGGUGGCGGCUUUCUGCUGUUCCAGUUGGGGUGAGGGGACAGAAAGAGAAGGAGAUAGGACAG